CGGGCAGUAGCUCAGUGGUAGAGCUCCCGCUUCGAAUGCGGGAAGACCUGGUUUCGAUUCCCGGCUGCUUAC
rfam:Toxocara canis scaffold1017, whole genome shotgun sequence.